rnacentral:rRNA from 1 species
AGGGCGUACGGGGGAUGCCUAGGCUCUCAGAGACGACGAAGGACGUGAUAAGCUGCGAAAAGCUAUGGGGAGGUGCAAAUAACCAUUGAUCCAUAGAUGUCCGAAUGGGGAAACCCGGCGGGUUGAAGACCCGUCGUCGCAAGACGGUAACCCAGGGAACUGAAACAUCUAAGUACCUGGAGGAGAAGAAAACAAUUAGUGAUUCCGCAAGUAGUGGCGAGCGAACGCGGAUUAGCCCAAACUUUAAUGAUUCGUCAUUAGAGGGUUGUAGGACCUGCAUCAAGGCUGAAGAUCCAAGUGGAAGUAGUUUGGAAAACUACACCGUAGAGGGUGAAAGUCCCGUACACGGACGAACGACAGCUGGGCGGGUAUCCUGAGUAGGGCGGGACCGGUGAAAUCCUGUCUGAAUCUACCAGCACCAUCUGGUAAGGCUAAAUACUCCUGAGAGACCGAUAGUGAACCAGUACCGUGAGGGAAAGGUGAAAAGAACCCCAAGAAGGGGAGUGAAAAGAACCUGAAACCGUGCGCCUACAAGCGGUCGGAGCAUUGACUUUCGAGUUAAUGUGACGGCGUGCCUUUUGCAUAAUGAGCCUACGAGUUACACCUGACUAGCAAGUUUAAGGCUUUCAGAGCCGCAAGCGAAGCGAAAGCGAGUCUGAAUAGGGCGCAAGCUAGUUGGGGUAGACGCGAAACCUGGUGAUCUACCCAUGGGCAGGUUGAAGUUCCGAUAGUCUCGGAAUGGAGGACCGAACCAGUACACGUUGAAAAGUGUUUGGAUGACCUGUGGGUAGGGGUGAAAGGCCAAUCAAACCAGGAGAUAGCUCGUACUCCCCGAAAUGCAUUUAGGUGCAGCGUUUGCGAUAGUAUGUCAUGGAGGUAGAGCUACCAAUAGGGCUAGGGGGCUUCACCGCCUACCAACCCCUGAUGAACUCCGAAUGCCAUGACAUGUAGCAAGCAGUGAGGCGUUGGGUGCGAAGGUCCAGCGCCGAGAGGGAAACAACCCAGACCAUCAGCUAAGGUCCCUAAGUAUUAGCUAAGUUGAAUGAACGAGGUGGGAAUGCUAUGACAGCUAGGAUGUUGGCUUGGAAGCAGCCAUUCAUUUAAAGAGUGCGUAACAGCUCACUAGUCGAGCGUUCCUGCGCGGAAAAUAAUCGGGCAUUAAGCUAAUCACCGAAGCUAUGGACUCCUUCGGGAGUGGUAGGGGAGCAUUCCAGUGUUGCAGAAGGUGUACUGCGAGGUAUGCUGGAGAUACUGGAAAAGCAAAUGUAGGCAUGAGUAACGAUAAAUGAGGUGAGAGACCUCAUCGCCGUAAGACUAAGGGUUCCUCGUUCGAUGUUAAUCAGAACAGGGUUAGUCGGGUCCUAAGGUGUAGCCGACAGGCGAAGCCGAUGGCAAACGGGUUAAUAUUCCCGUACCUGCUAUACAAUAAAAGUGACGGAGUAGUGUAGGUAGUGCGUACUGACGGAAUAGUACGUUGAACUGUGGGCAACUGCAGGAUAGUACACCAAGUCCCUAGGACGAGGUGAUAAUCUACUGAAGCGACUUCCUAGAAACAGCGAGUAUAGCAGCCCGUACCGUAAACCGACACAGGUAGUCGAGGAGAGUAUCCUAAGGCGCUCGAGUGAUCCGUGGCUAAGGAACUAGGCAAAAUUGACUCGUAACUUCGGGAGAAGAGUCGCCCCCUUGCGGGGGCCGCAGUGAAAAGGCCCAGGCGACUGUUUAGCAAAAACACAGGACUCUGCGAAAUCGAAAGAUGAAGUAUAGGGUCUGACACCUGCCCGGUGCUGGAAGGUUAAGGAAGGUAGUUAGUCUUCGGGCGAAGCUAUUGACUGAAGCCCCAGUAAACGGCGGCCGUAACUAUAACGGUCCUAAGGUAGCGAAAUUCCUUGUCGGGUAAGUUCCGACCUGCACGAAUGGUGUAACGAUCUGGGCACUGUCUCGGCCACGAGCUCGGUGAAAUUGAAGUAUCGGUGAAGAUGCCGAUUACCCGCAACGGGACGGAAAGACCCCGUGAACCUUUACUACAGCUUCACAUUGGGUUUGGGUAUAGGAUGUGUAGGAUAGGUGGGAGACUUUGAAGUGGCCACGCUAGUGGUUGUGGAGUCGUCCUUGAAAUACCACCCUUCCUAUACUUAGAUUCUAACUCUGAAAAGAGGACAUUGUGUGGUGGGUAGUUUGACUGGGGUGGUCGCCUCCUAAAAAGUAACGGAGGCUCGCAAAGGUACCCUCAGCAUGGUUGGUAAUCAUGCGUAGAGCGUAUAAGUACAAGGGUGCUUGACUGAGAGAGGGACGCCUCGAACAGGUGCGAAAGCAGGCUUAAGUGAUCCGGUGGUUCCGUAUGGAAGGGCCAUCGCUCAAAGGAUAAAAGGUACUCCGGGGAUAACAGGCUGAUCUCCCCCAAGAGCUCAUAUCGACGGGGAGGUUUGGCACCUCGAUGUCGGCUCAUCGCAACCUGGGGCUGAAGUCGGUCCCAAGGGUUGGGCUGUUCGCCCAUUAAAGUGGCACGCGAGCUGGGUUCAGAACGUCGCAAGACAGUUCGGUCCCUAUCUGUUGCGGGCGUAGGAAUAUUGAGGAGAUCUGACACUAGUACGAGAGGACCGUGUUGGACGUACCUCUAGUGUACCAGUUGUGCCGCCAGGUGCAUUGCUGGGUAGCUAUGUACGGCAUGGAUAAGCGCUGAAAGCAUCUAAGCGCGAAGCCAACUCCAAGAUGAGUAUUCCAUUGA